CUUUGUCCUCAUCUAGAAAUGUUCUACAGCAGCAGGUCUGUCUUAAUGUUUUCAUAAUGUAAAAGGUAAUUUCAUCUUUUCCCAUCUCUUGUUAGAAGACAGUGUUGGUUUCUCACCAUGGAGCCCAUAAAGAAAUCUCUGGCAGGAAGAUGUGGGGAAAGCAAGAGCUGGGAAGUGAUUUUUAGGGGCAGAAUGUCAGCUGCUCCUGCUUUCUGAAGAUUCCCUCCUACUCUGUCCUGGCCACACACCAACCUCCCGCUCAUCAUGCACUGAAAUGUUCCCUUUCCUCAUUCAGCUCUUUCCUUAAUAGAUGCUUCUUUUGUGAAAGCUUCCUGCAUCAUUUUUCUCCCUUUUGGUGACUCCAGACCUUCUCAGACUUGAACUAUUGUCCAGUAUGUAUUGUAUCCAUUUGAGUCAGGUUGUUAGGUCCAUACCCCAAAGGCCUCCAACCCCUCCUUCGCCCCCUCAGCGCACAAACACAGCAAAGGGAAUUAUAAAAUCUUAAUCAGGAGAACUCAGCAAGGUUCCUCGUGAGGAGCUGCCUACAAAAUGUCCUGGGGGAGAUGCAAGGCUUGCUGGAGUUGAGGUUCCUCUGCCCUGAAGGUUCAAGCACUAUUUUGGUGAAGUUUGGACCAAUGCUUGAACGCAAAAGCUGUGCUGCAGACAUCAUUACAAGAGCUUUUCACAACCUGACAGCAGACUUACAGAAAGAGCUUGGCUGCUGCUGUUUGAAUUUCUUGUGAUUCCUCAAUAGAAAGCAGGGGAGAGAUGCUAAGACCAUUUAAAGCACCGGAAAGAUGCAUUUGUUUAAAUCACUUAAGUGCUUAAGAAGUCAUUUGCUGCCUGUCUGCUGACUACUUAAACUAUCCCAAAUCUCGUGGUGCAUGCAGCAUGUAUUUGUACAGGUGUGGAAAUAAUCAUCUUCCAGUGUGUUAGACAUAAAGUAUUGUAUACAAAAAUGAAGUUCAAUAAAUGAAAAGUGUAAACCACAAGUCUUUGCUUCACAAAAACACGACCUA